rnacentral:rRNA from 1 species
UACCAGCUCUCCGAGUGGUGUGGAUGUUUAUUGGGCCUAAAGCAUCCGUAGCUGGCUGGGCAAGUCCCCUGUUAAAUCCACCGAUUUAAUCGUUGGAGUGCGGGGGAUACUGUUCGGCUAGGGGACGGGAGAGGCAGACGGUAUUUUCGGGGUAGGGGUGAAAUCCUAUAAUCCCGGGAAGACCACCAGUGGCGAAGGCUGUCUGCUAGAACGCGCCCGACGGUGAGGGAUGAGAGCUGGGGGAGCGAACCGGAUUAGAUACCCGGGUAGUCCCAGCUGUAAACGAUGCAGGCUAGGUGUUUGGGCGGCCACGUGCCGCUCUAGUGCCGCAGGGAAGCCGUUAAGCCUGCCGCCUGGGGAGUACGGCCGCAAGGCUGAAACUUAAAGGAAUUGGCGGGGGAGCACCACAAGGGGUGAAGCUUGCGGUUU